UAGUUAUUUCCGAUAAAGUUUAUGCUCAUCUCACUUUUUGGGAGUAAACCUUUUGUGCCUAUGGUAAUCUUUGGAUCAAUUGCCCCUAUUGUUACAGUAGGAUCCAUAUCAAAGAGAUAGAUUUUUUCUGGUUGGCGACUUGAUUGACUUGCUACAAAUGAUCCAAACGGCAUACUAACAGACCAUGAGGCAAAAUGAGUCCACAGACUAUAUGAUCUGGCUAUCUGCUUAUGGAGCUGUUUAUUGGGGCGUGGUUUGGUGCUUGGCCAAUGGCACUUGAUUAGGAAAGCCCAUGGCUGGUAUGUUACCUGAUUGCCAAGGAUUCGAGGUUCACAAUAUAGAGAUUGUAGUGCAUAUCAUGAUGCAUAUAUUUGAAUUUCAGAUGCAUUAAUUGUAUUUACUAAAGCUUUAGUAGUCAACAAUACUAUCUUUUGAGAGUCUUGCAAUGGAAAGACAUAUAAAAUAUACUCCACAUAACCUUGUUCAUAUUAUAUUCCCUUUAAAUAAAUUCUUCUCUUAAUUGUUUUCCAGAAAAGUAGAGCCACCUCAACGAAUCUUGCUCACCCUAAUGAACCUUGUACAUAUAAAAGUAGUAUACCCAAUUCUUCUAGAAGGCAAAGCAUUCGAUGGCCAGUUCUAAUUUUUUGUGAUCAGCUUUUGGUUAGAAAAAGGAGUUUUUUAGGGAAUGGCAUUUGGUUCACACUAUUCUUCCAGUGACUUGAUUUUCUUGAUACCAUAAAAGUUCUAAGAAGUUGUUUGUCCUAUUCUUGUGUCAAUUUUUUUGGCGCUUCCUUAUAGAUGGUUUCCACCUCAUUGUUUCCCACUAACCAUAUUAAUAUCACUCACCCUUAUGGAAGACACACACAUCUGGUGAAAAUAUGUUUAUGUUGUUUUGGACACUUUCAAGAGUAUCAUAUCAAUAAUGAAGUUAUUUAUCCUGGUAUAUGAAUGCAAAAGAUAAAGUGAUCAAAAGAAGGAAAGAUAAAAGGUUAGCACUAUGUGGCUCCUUUUUGUGGGGGUAAGAUCAGAUUGCAUUGCCAUUUGUAAAUAUUUUUUGCUCGAGUUAGGGAAUCACUUAAGUUUGCUUUGUCAACAGGAUCUCCAUGUUCCACACUGAGAUUCUAAUAUCCUGAUUCAAGGAGUUCCUAAGACAUGCCCUCACAUUAUUUUUUUUUUAUUUAACCAUAUAUGACCAUUACAAAGGUAUGAAAUUAUAAUAAAAGCUGAUUAAGUACUAUGUAACAACAUUAGUACAUGCAUCUUCCAUUAUAAUGUCCUUUUAUGUUUUUCCUUUACUAAAAAAUUACAUCAAAACAUACAUCACUUGCGAAAUGAAUGAAAACAGUAGCAGUUAGAUGAAAAACGAAACAGGGAGAGGCAGUUUUAUACCGAUAUUGUUUCACACAUUCAUUUGUAUCACGUUGUGUCUUAGUUCUUGUUACUCUAGCUGAUUUCCUAUAAUUAUCUUGAAUUUACCAGCUGUUAGCUGUUUCAGUUGCACAUGUUAAAUGUUUAGAUUUCUUGUGUAAUCCUUUUGCUUGAUCAAUUUGCAUUUGUUAUCAGUUAACAAAGCCAUAGUUAUUACCGACUCACAGAUUUCCUUGGUGCUUGAGUGCUAAUUUAUUCAUAUGCAUUUACAUUUCCUAUGUCUUAGAGCUGGAGGGAAAGAUCCUUUUUAUACAUAGGUUAUGCUCUUCAUGGAAAGAUCACAUUUUCCUAUUUUGUAGACCUUUGCCCGGGGCUGAAAAAUAUUUUAGUAAAUGAUUUAUUCUCAUUUACGACACAAUUGGUAUUUGCAUUUAAGAAUGGCCGGUAUUUGCAUUUAAGAAUGGCCUAUUUGUGUGACUUAUAAAGCUAUAGAUGGUUACCUCGGUGAGGCUUGUAGCAUCCUUGGGCUGCAUUUUCUUCCGUAAACGCCAACAGCAUCUAAAAGAAGACUAGCGUCUGACUUCUGGGAAUCACUUUGUAAUUUAAAUUGCAGUGUUCAGGAACCUGGUAAAGAACAAGCUUGUUCCUGAUCCCUUCUAUGGGCUGGGAAAUGAAUCAAUUAUCGACAUUGUUGAUUCGGUGAGGGAACACUACACUUUCUGGUUUUCACCACCUUUGAAUAUAAGCUGGUGUGUAUACAAAUUAUAUAAUCUGUCUCAUUUGCAUUCGGUGCUUCAUUUUCUGUAAAGAUUUUCUGUAAAGGGUUUUGCUUCUUAUCAAAUAUGUUUUGCACAUUGAGUAGCUCAAGAAUAUUUAUUUAGUCUACGGAGUAAAUCUUAUAAUCUCUUAUUUCAUUUCCACUGUGAUUUGCAACUAUUCCCUGUGUUCGGUACUUAUAAUAAGUGCGUGGCUAAUAUUUUUUUGUCAAAUAAUCAGCUCGUGGAUCUUAAUUUUUGGGCUAUUAUUGUUCUGUUGAAGUCUUAUCGGAAUGGGCACAAGGAGGUGCUUCCAAAGGGAAUGUUUAGGGGGCAUUUAGGAGGCGUUCUAUUGAUAUCACCGACAUUCUAUCCUCCUGAUUAUCCAGGGCGUAUUUCUCCUCGGGGUGGUCAAGGUAGUUGUAGACAUCUAAUUUUGUCCCUUCCAAGUUCAAUUUUAUUCAUUUUUACCUCACUUUAUGAUACACCCUUACUCACGUGAUUAUACCCUCCAUAAAAUGACAAAAAUAACAACCCUUAACAAAUUUUAUCUUGUUUGGAUCCUAUCCUAACAAACUUUAUCCUAACAGCCUACCCAAUCAAAAGCUUCCACCUCUAUAUCCACUCACAUUUUUAUCCUCACAUAAUACAUUAACAACAAAAAGAAGGGGGACCCACAGGUACACCUAACAAAGAAAGGAUCAUCAUUUACACAUCACCUUCACAAUAUACAUAUACACCAUUUGCACAAAACUGAAAAAGGAGGGGAAAGGGACUCCAUUUUUCUUUCUUUUCUUCUCCAUUAACAACUUCACCAACACUCUCUUAUCACUCCAAAAAAAAUAUAGAAUCCUCACGCACACACUGUUGCACACACAUACACACAGUAAACUCACACGCACAAAGUAGAGAAAUCGAGAAGUAGGUGAUCAAAAAAGUAAAGAAAGAGCGCAAAAGUAGAAAGAGAGGAGAGAGAACGAAACAAAAGACCAUUAUUUGAUCGUUUCUUUUCGGAUUCCGGUGAAAUCUAGCCGGAAUCGACGUCAAACUCAUCGUCUAGGCCUGCUCCAUCCUGAAAUCCCCCUAAAUCCUCUCGGUCUUAUUAAUUUCUGGACAAAAUCUAGCUAGAAUCUGAUCUAUUCCAGUCAAUUUCUAUCGCGGAUAGCUCAUCAGAGUUCAAAUUUGUACUCGCCCUCAGUUUUCUACCCGAAAUCGGGUUUGGAUUUUUGUUGUUGGCGUUCAAUUCUAGGUCGGUUGUUUAAUUUCGAGACUUUUCAUCGAUUUUCAAAUCUGUUCGGGUGGGGGGUUUCUUGAUACUGAUUUGGUUAUUCAUCAUUGGGGUUCCUUGCUUUGUGAAUUUGGUAUUUGAAUUAGAUUUCGAGUUUGGUUUUUGUAUUGAGUUGGUUCGUCGUUGAGGUUUCUAUUCGGGGUUUCGACUGCGGAUCUCUCUUAACUCAUAUUAUCACGAAAUCGUUUCUUCGAAGGGAAUGCCCCGACGUAGUAAGUCUUCGAAGAUGGUUCGUGAUCAAGGCCCGAGACAUCGGACAGGUGAAAGGGAGAUGUCCAGAUGCCCCCAAUUAGGUGGUGUGAGAGGUUGAUUGUAGUGGGAUUGAGGAGGGGUAGAGGUAGGAAGAAGAAGCAUAGCGGGACAGGACAAGGACUUCAUUCAGAUGAGAAAUCUAUUCUCCGAUAUGAGGAGAAAUGAUUGCUUAGUAAAUGCUCAUACCUGGACAAUCAUGAUAAUACGGUAUGGCAAAACAAGACAGACAAAUAUGGCUAUUCAUACUUUCAAAGAAAUGAAAAAUAGUGGAUGUAGUAAACCCAGACAGUACGUACAAAGCUUUGAUCACAUCUCUUUCUCAGAAAAAAGAUGGGAGAAUUGAUGCAGCAGUAAAAAUAUUUCAAGAAAUUAUUCAAGUUGGACACAGUUUUGAUAAAGAAGUAAUCGAAGAUCAUAUUGGUUGUUUUUGUAAACUUGGUAAGUUCAACGAUGCCAGAAUUUGUACCGAGUCUUUACAAAAGCUCGAUUUCAGUAACCCUUUAACGUAUUCAUUGUACGUUAGAUCACUUUGUCGAGCAGGUAGACUAGAACAGGCUUUAGCAUUGAUCAGCGAAGUUCAUGGUGACGAGCAGCAUAUCCUGAGCCAGUACUUCUAUGGAAGUUUAGUUACGGUCUCCUACGACAAGGGCAGUCAGAAGAGGCAUUGCCAAGAAUCGAAUCUAUGAAGCAGGUCGACAUCCAUUCCAUGUAUAUUCUUCCUUGAUUGGCUACUACUACAAGGUGAAACAAGUCGAAAAGACUCUUGAAAUUUUCGAGCAAAUGAAACAUUCAAGCUGCCAACCAACAAUCAUUAACUACUCAGCGCUACUACGAGGGUACAUGAACAUGGAAAAAGUCUCCGAGACAUGAAACGUGUUUCAUCAGAUGAGAAAGAAUGGAUCAUAUCCUGAUUUCAAGGCAUACUCCGUGUUCAUUUCUUCUUGGUAAUUAUGAAGCACUUCAACAUAUAUCUGAAAUGCUGGACUUCUAAAGUAGUUCUGAUGGACUUUGUGAAGAUGAUCUUAUAAUGAAAAAACUUUGUUGUAUUUGCUUUGAUUUUCUUUUGAUUGGAUGGAUAUUACAUAUCUAAACUUUGAUCUGAUUAAUGUAUGAGUAAGGAUAAGUUGUCUCUCUGAAAUGAUUGUUUGAAUGGGAAAAAUGAUAGCCAUUUAAGAAACUGA